CAGCACUGGCAUAGGACCCAUUUGUUUCCUCCUUGACCAACUGGGUAUUUGGCGAUAGAAAAGCAAAUUCCUCCUAAAUCUGGGAAAGUCAUGUUGUGGACUACUCCUGCAUGCAGGUGAAUACAAAU